ensembl:lncRNA
CGAGUCUCGGCCCUGGGAAGGACCAUUUUUAAAGACUCAUCUCUUGAAAUUGGAGCGAGCAUUUAGCAGUUUUCAUGCAAAUUUCCUGCAAUUCUACACAUUUUGCCAUUAGGGUAGAGAGAACUUAGCCGUUUUAAAGCUUACAUCUCAGUAAAUACAGUAUAUCACAAAAGUGAGUACACCCCUCACAUUUUUGUAAAUAUUUGAGUAUAUCUUUUCAUGUGACAACACUGAAGAAAUGACACUUUGCUACAAUGUAAAGUAGUGAGUGUACAGCUUGUAUAACAUAGUAAAUUUUCUGUCCCCAGAGUAGCAGGUAGGAGAGACACUCUGACUCUGUACCACACAGAGUAGCAGGUAGGAGAGACACUCUGGCUCUGUACCACACAGAGUAGCAGGUAGGGGGGGAGACACUCUGACUCUGUACCACACAGAGUAGCAGGUAGGAGAGACACUCUGGCUCUGUACCACACAGAGUAGCAGGUGGGAGGGAGACACUGACUCUGUACCACACAGAGUGGCAGGUAGGGGAGACACUC